rnacentral:rRNA from 1 species
AAGUAGUCUCAAAUACAAAAACUAAUUUAGUUUGGCGGCAUUUUAUCUAAUUAGAGGAAUCCGUCUCUUAAUCGAUAAUCCACGCUAAAUUUCACUUCAAUUUAAAACCUAUAUAUCGCCAUCUCAAGAAUUAAUUAAAAAAUAUUCCUCCUAAAAAUAAAUAAAAAGUUAGGUCAAGGUGUAAUUCAUAUUGAAGUAUACGAUGAAUUACAUUAAAUACAAUUUAAAGAUCAUUAAUAAAUAUAUUUAUACAAAUAAGAAUUUAAUAGUAAUAUUUAAAUAAUAAUACAAUAUGAUAUAGAUAAUAAAUGUGC